rnacentral:rRNA from 1 species
CGACCGGCGCACGGGUGAGUAACACGUAUGCAACCUGGCUGUAAGAGGGGAAUAACCCGGAGAAAUCCGGACUAAUACCGCAUAAUACUUAGAAUCCGCAUGGAUUUUAAGUUAAACAUUUAUGGCUUACAGAUGGGCAUGCGUAUGAGUUAGCUGGUUGGAGAGGUAACGGCUCCCCAAGGCAACGAUCAUUAGGGGUUCUGAGAGGAAGGUCCCCCACACUGGUACUGAGACACGGACCAGACUCCUACGGGAGGCAGCAGUGAGGAAUAUUGGUCAAUGGGACGCAAGUCUGAACCAGCCAAAGUCGCGUGAAGGAAGAAUGUCCUAUGGAUUGUAAACUUUCUUUUGAAAGGGGAAUAAAGUACGGUACGUGUACCGUUUUGUAUGUACCCUUCGAAUAAGGAUCCGGCUAACUCCGUGCCAGCAGCCGC